rnacentral:rRNA from 1 species
UACAGAGGUGGCAAGCGUUGUUCGGAAUUACUGGGCGUAAAGGGCGCGUAGGCGGCCAUCUAAGUCAGACGUGAAAUCCCCCGGCUUAACCUGGGAACUGCGUCUGAUACUGGACGGCUAGAGUAUGGGAGAGGGAUGUAGAAUUCCAGGUGUAGCGGUGAAAUGCGUAGAUAUCUGGAGGAACACCGGUGGCGAAGGCGCACAUCUGGCCCAAUACUGACGCUAAAGCGCGAAAGCUAGGGGAGCAAACGGG